GAUGAAGAACGUAGCGAAAUGCGAUACUUGGUGUGAAUUGCAGAAUCCCGUGAACCAUCGAGUCUUUGAACGCAAGUUGCGCCCGAAGCCAUUAGGCCGAGGGCACGCCUGCCUGGGCGUCACACGUCGUUGCCCCCCCAUCUACUCCUUCGGGAUUGCGGGGGGCGGAUGAUGGCCUCCCGUGCGCCUCGUCGCGCGGUUGGCAUAAAUGCCAAGUCCUCGGCGACGCACGCCACGACAAUCGGUGGUUGCGAAACCUCGGUUGCCCGUCGUGUGCGGUCGUCGCGCAUCGAGGGCUCGAAAAAAUUGUCGGGCUCCGGCUCGGCUUUCAACGCGACCCCAGGUCAGGCGGGGUUACCCGCUGAAUUUAAGCAUAUCAAUGAGCGGAGGA
rnacentral:misc_RNA from 1 species